rnacentral:rRNA from 1 species
GACGAACGCUGGCGGCGUGCCUAAUACAUGCAAGUAGAACGCUGAAGGAGGAGCUUGCUUCUCUGGAUGAGUUGCGAACGGGUGAGUAACGCGUAGGUAACCUGCCUGGUAGCGGGGGAUAACUAUUGGAAACGAUAGCUAAUACCGCAUAAUAGUAGAUGUUGCAUGACAUUUGCUUAAAAGGUGCAAUUGCAUCACUACCAGAUGGACCUGCGUUGUAUUAGCUAGUUGGUGGGGUAACGGCUCACCAAGGCGACGAUACAUAGCCGACCUGAGAGGGUGAUCGGCCACACUGGGACUGAGACACGGCCCAGACUCCUACGGGAGGCAGCAGUAGGGAAUCUUCGGCAAUGGACGGAAGUCUGACCGAGCAACGCCGCGUGAGUGAAGAAGGUUUUCGGAUCGUAAAGCUCUGUUGUAAGAGAAGAACGAGUGUGAGAGUGGAAAGUCACACUGUG